GAUGAACGCUGGCGGCGUGCUUAACACAUGCAAGUCGAACGAGGUCCAUGGAGCUUGCUCCGGAAGACCUAGUGGCGAACGGGUGCGUAACUCGUGAGAAACCUGCCCCGAUCUCUGGGAUAACAGUUGGAAACGACUGCGAAUACCGGAUGCCGUCACACCGCUUCAUGGCGGAGUGCCGAAAGAUUCAUCGGAUCGGGAGGGGCUCGCGGCCUAUCAGCUAGUUGGAGAGGUAACGGCUCACCAAGGCAUCGACGGGUAGCUGGUCUGGGAGGAUGAUCAGCCACACUGGGACUGAGACACGGCCCAGACUCCUACGGGAGGCAGCAGUGGGGAAUCUUGCACAAUGGGCGAAAGCCUGAUGCAGCAACGCCGCGUGCGGGAAGAAGGCCCUAGGGUUGUAAACCGCUUUCAGUAGGGAAGAAAAUGACGGUACCUACAGAAGAAGGUGCGGCCAACUACGUGCCAGCCGCCGCGGUAACAC
rnacentral:rRNA from 1 species